rnacentral:lncRNA from 1 species
AUGAACCUGGAGGUCCUCUGGAUCGUUCCUCGUGGAUCGUCCCUCUGGCAUCGUCCCUCGGGGAUCAUCUCUCGGGGAUCGUCCCUCAGGGAUCGUUCCUCUGGGAUCGUCCGUCGUGGAUCGUCCCUCGUGGAUCGUCCCUCUGGGAUCGUCCCUCAGGGAUCGUUCCUCUGGGAUCGUUCCUCGGGGAUCGUUCCUCAGAGAGCUUCCUCUUGGAUCGUUCCUCUGGGAUCGUUCCUCAGAGAACUUCCUCAGGGAUCGUCCCUCUGGGAUCACUCCUCGGGGAUGGUUGCUCAGAGAACUUCCUCAGGGAUCGUUCCUCUGGGAUUGUUCCUCGGGAUCGUUCCUCAGAGAACUUCCUCUGGGAUCGUCCCUCUGGGAUCGUUCCUCUGGGAUCGUUCCUCUGGGAUCGUCCCUCUGGGAUCGUCCCUCUGGGAUCGUCCCUCUGGGAUCGUCCCUCUGGGAUCGUCCCUCUGGGAUCGUCCCUCUGGGAUCGAUCCUCUGGGAUCGUUCCUCAGAGAACUUCCUCUUGGAUCGUUCCUCUGGGAUCGUUCCUCAGAGAACUUCCUCAGGGAUCGUCCCUCUGGGAUCGUUCCUCUGGGAUUGUUCCUCAGGGAUCGUUCCUCAGAGAACUUCCUCUGGGAUCGUCCCUCUGGGAUCGUCCCUCUGGGAUCGUCCCUCUGGGAUCGUUCCUCUGGGAUCGUUCCUCUGGGAUCGUCCCUCUGGGAUCGUCCCUCUGGGAUCGUCCCUCUGGGAUCGAUCCUCUGGGAUCGUUCCUCAGAGAACUUCCUCUUGGAUCGUUCCUCUGGGAUCGUUCCUCAGAGAACUUCCUCAGGGAUCGUCCCUCUGGGAUCACUCCUCAGGGAUGGUUGCUCAGAGAACUUCCUCAGGGAUCGUUCCUCUGGGAUCGUUCCUCUGGGAUUGUUCCUCGGGGAUCGUUCCUCAGAGAACUUCCUCUGGGAUUGUCCCUCUGGGAUCGUUCCUCUGGGAUCGUUCCUCUGGAUCGUUCCUCUGGGAUCGUCCCUCUGGGAUCGUCCUCUGGGAUCGUCCCUCUGGGAUUGUUCCUCUGGGAUUGUUCCUCGGGGAUCGUUCCUCAGAGAACUUCCUCUGGGAUCGUCCCUCUGGGAUCGUCCCUCUGGGAUCGUUCCUCUGGGAUCGUUCCUCGGGGAUCGUUCCUCAGAGAACUUCCUCAGGGAUCGUCCCUCUGGGAUCGUUCCACUGGGAUCGUCUCUCUGGGAUCGUUCCUCAGGAAUGUUCCUCAGAGAACUUCCUCAGGCAUCGUCCCUCUGGGAUCGUUCCUCUGGGAUCGUUCCUGUGAUCGGUCGUGUUCCAAAGCUUUUCCAAACAGAAAUGUCUGAUCUUUUCUUCUCCUCAUCCUGA